rnacentral:rRNA from 1 species
UAGAGGUAAAGUUGCGAGCUGAUUAGCUUGUUGGUGAGGUAAUGGCUCACCAAGGCGACGAUCAGUAUCUGGUUUGAGAGGACGAUCAGACACACUGGAACUGAGACACGGUCCAGACUCCUACGGGAGGCAGCAGUGGGGAAUUUUCCGCAAUGGGCGAAAGCCUGACGGAGCAAUACCGCGUGAGGGAUGACGGCCUAUGGGUUGUAAACCUCUUUUUUCAGGGAGGAAUCAAUGACGUGUACCUGAAGAAUAAGCAUCGGCUAACUCCGUGCCAGCAGCCGCGGUAAGACGGAGGAUGCAAGUGUUAUCCGGAAUCACUGGGCGUAAAGCGUCUGUAGGUGGUUUAAUAAGUCAACUGUUAAAUCUUGAGGCUCAACCUCAAAAUCGCAGUCGAAACUAUUAAACUAGGGUUAUAGU